UGGGUACGCACAGAAAUGCCGGGGUC
rnacentral:piRNA from 1 species